AGAGUUUGAUCCUGGCUCAGAGUGAACGCUGGCGGCGUGGAUUAGGCAUGCAAGUCGAGCGAUCUCGCAAGAGAUAGCGGCAAACGGGUUAGGAACACGUAAAUAAUCUUCCUUUUUCCUGGACAUAGCUCUAUGAAAAUAGAGGUAAUAUCCAAUAGUACCGCACUUAGGCAUCUAGGAGCGAUUAAAGUAGGGGACCGCAAGGCCUUACGGAAAUAGAUGAGUUUGCGUAGCAUCAGCUAGUUGGUAGGGUAAUGGCCUACCAAGGCUAAGACGCUUAGCUGGUCUGAGAGACGAUCAGCAACACUGGGACUGAGACACUGCCCAGACUCCUACGGGAGGCUGCAGUCGAGAAUAUUUAGCAAUGGACGAAAGUCUGACUAUGCGACGCCGCGUGAGGGAUGAAGGAUUUCGGUUCGUAAACCUCUUUCGGCAGGGAAGAAAAAGUUGCAUUUAAUAAAUGCAAACCUGACGGUACCUGCAGAAUAAGCCACGGCUAACUCCGUGCCAGCAGCCGCGGUAAUACGGAGGUGGCAAGCGUUACUCGGAAUUAUUGGGUGUAAAGGGCAAGUAGGCGGCGUGAUAAGUGGGUGGUGAAAUACUCUUGCUCAACAGGAGAACUGCCUUCCAAACUGUCAUGCUUGAGUAUACCAGAGGAAAAGGGAAUUCUAGGUGUAAGGGUGAAAUCUGUAGAUAUCUAGAAGAACACCAGCGGCGAAGGCGCUUUUCUGGGGUAUUACUGACGCUAAAUGCGAAAGCUAGGGGAGCAAACAGAAUUAGAUACUCUGGUAGUCCUAGCCGUAAACGAUGAGCACUAGAUGUCGGCUCCUUUAGGAGUCGGUGUCGCAGCUAACGCAUUAAGUGCUCCACCUGGGGACUACGGUCGCAAGGCUAAAACUCAAAGGAAUUGACGGGGGCCCGCACAAGCGGUGGAACAUGUGGUUUAAUUCGAAGCUACGCGAAAAACCUCACCAGGGCUUGACAUACAGGAAGUAGUGAAGUGAAAGCGGAACGACCCGUUAAGUCGGGAGCCUGAACAGGUGCUGCAUGGCUGUCGUCAGCUCGUGUCGUGAGAUGUUGGGUUAAGUCCCGCAACGAGCGCAACCAUUAUCCUUUGUUGCCACUUAUAUUGGGCUUGCUCAGUAUGACCACUCUAAGGAGACUGCCCGGGAUAACCGGGAGGAAGGUGGAGAUGACGUCAAGUCAGUACGGCCUUUAUGCCCUGGGCGACACACGUGUUACAAUGGGUAGGACAAAGGGUUGCCAACCAGCGAUGGGGAGCUAAUCUCAAAAACCUACCCCCAGUUCAGAUCGGAGUCUGCAAUUUGACUCCGUGAAGCCGGAAUCGCUAGUAAUGGCAGAUCAGCACGCUGCCGUGAAUACGUUCCCGGGCCUUGUACACACCGCCCGUCAAGCGAUGGGAGUUAGGAGUACCCGAAGUGCCAUGUAGUUGGCCCUAAGGUAAAACUAAUGACUGGCGCUAAGUCGAAAUAAGGUAGCCGUAC
rnacentral:rRNA from 1 species